GGGAUAUGGGCUGAGUGUCACAAAUGGAUGAAUGGGGUAUAGGAGUAGAGGGGCAAGAGGCAAAAUAAGAGAUAAUUCGAGAUUGGUUCCAAAUCAGCUAUGUUUGCCUUUAUUUGAAAUUUUCUGUUUAUAUUUUUUCUACAAAUUAUGGGAUUAGCUGAAAACAAAAAACAUGACAUUUAAGUAACCAUGCAGUGCUUC